UACGAAGGGGGCUAGCGUUGUUCGGAAUUACUGGGCGUAAAGAGCUCGUAGGUGGUUUGUCGCGUUGUUCGUGAAAACUCACAGCUCAACUGUGGGCGUGCGGGCGAUACGGGCAGACUUGAGUACUGCAGGGGAGACUGGAAUUCCUGGUGUAGCGGUGGAAUGCGCAGAUAUCAGGAGGAACACCGGUGGCGAAGGCGGGUCUCUGGGCAGUAACUGACGCUGAGGAGCGAAAGCGUGGGGAGCGAACAGG
rnacentral:rRNA from 1 species